rnacentral:lncRNA from 1 species
AAAAGCAGACAAAGGUAUGGAUUAUUUAAUGCCUUCAGAUCACGGAAAUCACGGCCUGUCAGAGCAAAGGUGCCCAUGUUUUAGCUGGCUAUCUUUUUUGAAUAGCAUAAAUGAGAAUUUAACUGAAGUUUUUCUUCCUUUUCUCCAUUUUUAUCGAAAGAAAAUGGAUCCAAGGUUGUUUCCGUAAACAACACGUCAAGUUAAAAUAGCUAGAAUUCCAAAUUAGCCAGCAUACACGACAAUUUGUCAUUGAAAAUUGUCCGAAGUUCCCACGGCGUUCCGUCCCCUCC